GUCUACGGCUAUGCCACCCUGUACAUGCCGGAUCUUAUUUGAUCUCAGAAGCUAAGCAGGGUCGGGUCUGGUUAGUACUUGGAUGGAAGACCACCUAGGAAUACCAGAUGCUGUAGGCU
rnacentral:rRNA from 1 species